AUGAAGUCGUUUGAAAAACUGGUUCUGGCUUAUCUGAAGGACAUCACUGGACCCUUACUGGACCCCCUGCAGUUUGCUUACCGAGCAAACAGGUCCGUGGAUGAUGCAGUCAACAUAGGACUGCACUUCAUCCUGCAACAUCUGGACAAAACAGGGACUUAUGUGAGGAUCCUGUUUGUGGACUUUAGUUCAGCUUUCAAAACCAUCAUCCCAACAGCCCUCCAGACCAAACUGACCCAGCUCUCUGUUCCUAGCUCUAUCUGUCAGUGGAUCACCAGCUUUCUGACAGAUAGGCAACAGCUAGUAAGACUGGGGAAAUUCAUGUCAAACAUCCACUCCACCAACACUGGUGCCCCUCAGGGAUGUGUUCUCUCCCCACUGCUCUUUUCCCUGUACACCACUGACUGCACCUCUAAAGACCCCUCUGUCAAGCUCCUGAAGUUUGCAGACGACACUACAGUCAUCGGUCUCAUCCAGGACAGUGACGAGUCUGCUUACAGACAAGAGGUUGAGCAGCUGGCUGUCUGGUGCAGUCUUAACAACCUGGAGCUGAACAUGGUCAAAACAGUGGAGAUGAUAGUGGACUUCAGGAGAAACCCCCCUGCACUCCCCCCACUCACCAUCAUGAACAGCACUGUGGCUGCAGUGGAGUCAUUCAGAUUCCUGGGAACCAACAUCUCUCAGGACCUGAAGUGGGACAAUCACAUUGACUCCAUUGUUAAAAAGGCCCAACAAAGAUUGUACUUCCUUCGCCAGCUGAGGAAGUUUAACCUGUCACAGGAGCUGCUGAAACAGUUCUACUCCGCCAUCAUUGAGUCUGUCCUGUGCACUUCAAUAACUGUCUGGUUUGGCUCAGCUACAAAAUCAGACAUCAGAAGACUAAAGAGAACAGUCCGGACUGCUGAAAGGAUUAUUGGGGCUUCCCUGCCCACCCUUCAAGAAAUGUAUACAUCCAGAGUGAGGAAAAGAGCUCAGAAAAUCGCUCUGGAUCCCUUACAUCCAAGUUAUUUGUUACCGUCUCCAUCCUAG
rnacentral:lncRNA from 12 species